AUGUUAGACAUAUGAGGAGAAAAAAAUAAGUUGGCAUGGAGAGGUUGAUUUGGAUAAGAACAGAUUCUCCUGAUAAAGAAUAUUUUGAAAUCUAAUUUCAUCUUUUUUUAUCAAAACUAAAUUAGAUUUGAAUGUGAGAUAGAGAGGGAGAAGAAUUCUUUGUUGUGAAAAAAUUUCAUGCAAAAACUAUUUGUGCAUGGAGAUAGAUGGCAUGCAAAGUGGGUUGGCGCA
rnacentral:lncRNA from 1 species